GAUGAACGCUGGCGGCGUGCCUAAUACAUGCAAGUCGAGCGAACAGACGAGGAGCUUGCUCCUCUGACGUUAUCGGCGGACGGGUGAGUAACACGUGGAUAACCUACCUAUACGACUGGGGUAAUUUCGGGAAACCGGAGCUACUAACGGAUAAUAUAUUGAACCUCAUUGUUCAAUAGUUAAAUACGGUUUUUCUUUCACUUAUAGAUGAAUCCGCGCCGCAUUAACUAGUUGGUAAGGUAACUGCUUAACAAGGCAACGAUGCGUAGCCGACCUGAGAGGGUGGAUGGACAGCCUGGCACUGAGACUCGGUCCAGACUCCUACGGGAGGACGCAGUAGGGAAUCUUACGCAAUGGGGGAAAGCCUGACGGAGCAACGCCGCGUGAGUGAUGAAGGUCUUAGGAUCGGAAAACUAUGUUAUUAGGGAAGAACAAAUGUGUAAGUAACUAUGAACGUAUUGACGGUACCUAAUCAGAAAGCCACGGCUAACUACGUG
rnacentral:rRNA from 1 species